CUCGUCUAGCGGUGUUGGUUUUGGUUACCACUACUGCAAAAGGUCCAUAAAUCUGCAUAACGUGGAGUUCUCUGUUGUAAUGACACCUUGUACGAGGGCAGAGAUGAUGGAGAGGAAUGUUCAGAGAUGUGUAUUCCUUACAAUCCGGCUAAAGGGACUCUAUGUUGUUCUCAGUUUUAUGGCAGCCCGGGACAACACUGCUGUGGGACGGAAAUUUACCGGCCUCGUACUGAGAUCUGCUGCAAUGGACACAGACACCCCAAAUCAGAAAACCUUCACUGCUGUGGGGUCAAAGCCUACAACAUUAAAGACCCACAGAUGAAGUGCUGUGCAGGAACACUGUACAAUCUGACAUCAUUAGACAAGCAUGGAGGGGACGCUCAGUGCUGCGGAUCCAUCCUGCAAAAGCCACAGGAUAUUUGCUGCUCAAGCCAGGAAAAAGAGGUGCUUUACUCUGUCAAGACAGGAUUUGGAUGCUGUGGUCACCUCUAUUACAACACCAGCCUGUGCUCAUGCUGUGCGGAGAGGCUGAGAAGAAUCCAUGAACCAGGAAAGGAUCAGAGAAACAUGAUGCAUGGAUCCAGACUUCUAUCUUUGAAUAAUCUAAACACAAGUGAUCUCUGCAAAGAAAUGUACAUUGGGACUGUGGAAAGUGUGUCUGUGAAGAGCGUUGUGUUCAGGAAUGUGCUAUGGGUUCAUGGGAAAUAUUCCAACGUGACAGCUCUGCCUUUGCAUCACAUCUUGGACAUAGAUGAUCACUGCAAAUCACCUAAACUGUUUCUUGGGAAGACCUACAUCUUUAACAACGUUAAUAUUUUCACUGAUUUCAACCAUGACUCUGUUCUUCAGUCGCUCCAUUUCAUUUUUUAUAAAUGUUCAUCUUAGAUCACCACUGUCUGAUCUAUGUAUGGUCAGUUAUUAGCUAUUCCCUUGUUUUUGUCUUAGAACAAGUAAUUAAUUUUUAUUUACUCAGUGCUGGUUUUCUUACUCUAAAAUAGUGCUACACUAAGAGUAAUGCAUAGGGGUUUUUUAUCCUCAGAAGAAUGUACUGUUAAAGUACUCAUUACAGGGAUGUUCUCUUACAUGGUCUAUUAACAAUAUAACACUGAACCUUAGAAAUGCCCAUUAAUUUGUAAAACUCUACCCUAAAAGGAAAGACCAUUGAAGCUUAACAUUUGGGCACUUUGCUGGUGUAAGCAUAAAAUCAAAGAACCAGCCAUAUUUCUAUCACACAUUUUAUUUUUACAUUAGUUAUUGUUGUGCAAGCACACAUGAAAAUGUUUUAAAAUGUGAUCUUUUUAAUCUUUUUGUUACCUAAAUAAUUGAAGAACAUGUAACUCAAUUGAAUUAAUUCAUUAACUGAAAUAUGUUUACUCAAUAAUGCAUUAUAGAAAAAAUUAACUUGAUUAGGGAUUGCAUUACUUUUCAACUGUUUAAAUUUAAAAAAUCCAGAAUUAGUUAUUAGUGAUAUUACUUACAAGUUGCUAUCAGUAAUGCAUUAAAUGUUCAACGCUCAUUUCCAUCCAAACCAUGUUGCUCUGUUUUUGAACGCAUCCCAAAAUGUGUGCUCGGUAAUUACUACUGUUACACAGCUAAUUAGUGCACAGUGUUGUUAACUUAUACAUGCAGUAAUGCAAUAUGACCAUUAUCUUUCAAAGUCUUAAAAAGCUAAAGUAGUAACUAGGAUAUCCAAGCUAGUGUUGGUUUGAAAUUAACAGUAGCUAACACCUUAGCUAUCAGUGUAACAGGAAGCAAGGCAUGCAAGAAUGUUAGCAUACAGCUUAACGGUCACAUAAGCUAAACUGCUAUCAGCUAAUAUUGUUUGUCAUUUGAAAUUUUUGUGACUGUUAUUUCUAUGCCUCUUUUUUGCACUGAACUAAAUUGUAAAUGGCAACUAUUUGCACUUUUUGAACCAUACAAUUGAAUGUAUAAAUGUACUGUAAAGCAUGAUUUAUUUGAAAGAUAAAGCUUGUAACUGUCAAAUGGUUAGUUGACAAUACCAUUAUUAUAAGCACCCCAGUUCUCACUGAUCCCUCUAAAAAUGCAAUAUUUCUGUUUCUUUGUAAGUACCUACUUUUAAUCACCUUGACCCAAGUUAUUUUUAUAUAUGUGACUUUCGGGAAGAUGUUUGGCAUUUAUUGUACUGUGUCUUUACUAAAUUGGUAAGAACAUACCUUUAAGCUACUAACAGGACAAGCUCAUGAUAUACAGUAUAUAUAUUAUAUAUUAUAUUGCAUGUUUAUAUUUAAUAUUUAAUAGCACCUCCUGUAUUAUUAAGUUUUAAAUAAAUAAGAAGAUAAGAAUAAUUGAAUGUGUGUGUGAUUUUUUUUAUUACUUUUAUUACUUAUUAUUUUAUUUAUUACUUUAUUACUUUUUAUUACAUAACAAUUUAUUGGACUAUAUAUACAUAACUAUUACUACAUUUUAUAUACACAUUGUUUAUUUGUAUAUUUGUAGAUAUUCAACAGAAUUAGAUAAUAAAUCAAUACUCUGUGCUU
ensembl:lncRNA